rnacentral:lncRNA from 1 species
AAAGGAUUGAAAAGAAGUUCACCACAAAAAAGUUUGAAGACAAGCAAACCUGAAACAGAUGCAGUGUAGUAGAUCUCAAGGGUGCAUUGCUCACUCCAGGGCCUGCUGCCACCCAGAUGGCUGGCAAACACCAGGACUCCCCACACAACAGGAUUCGGGGAUUCAGACAGGAGUCUUGCUCUACCAAUUAUUAUAGGAUCUUAGAUGCCUUUCCAGUAAAGCUAACAAAAAACAAAACAAAAUAAAACCAUAUCCAACAUACUAAACAGCUGUCUCCAAGAUCAGAAGGCAUCAGAAAAGACCCUCAAGAGUUGUCUAAUCCCAGAGGAAGAUCUUGUUUAAGUGGAGAAGUGCUCACAGCAGAAACCUUGGAAAUUUCAGGGAGUGGAAUUUUAUUGUCAGAACUUUCAAUAAAAGUGUAGCCACAGAUCCUGGGAGCAUUAAAUAAAAAUUACCAACAAGCUGUCUUACCUGUGUGCACUCCACUGAAAGGAAGGGCAAACAUGAACAAGGAGCUCUUGUACAUCAGUCAAAAUUCUGACAGCUACCCUGUGAAGUUUGACGGGCUGCCAUGUGCUAGACUACCUAAGAUACUCUUAACUGAACCAUAAAAAGACAAAUAAAUUAGUAAUUGUA